UACAGAGGUCUCAAGCGUUGUUCGGAUUCAUUGGGCGUAAAGGGUGUGUAGGUGGCGCGCUAAGUCAGGUGUGAAAUUUCGGAGCUUAACUCCGAAACUGCAUUCGAUACUGGCGUGCUUGAGGACUGGAGAGGAGACUGGAAUUUACGGUGUAGCAGUGAAAUGCGUAGAUAUCGUAAGGAAGACCAGUGGCGAAGGCGGGUCUCUGGACAGUUCCUGACACUGAGACACGAAGGCCAGGGGAGCAAACGGG
rnacentral:rRNA from 1 species